GUUUUAACCUGGCCUGAAAGGUUUUGCUUCUAAAAUAAUGAACUGACACUGGAGGGAUUCAUGUGGAUUUGCUGUGAUCAAAAGACUGGAUUGGAGACCCUCGGUGUGCUGAGUUCAAGGAGGAAAUGCCUACCCUGGAAUUAGGUGGUAACCAAUGAGAGGAAAUUGUUCAAAACUUGGAGAAGAAGAGCUUGAGAGUUGAAGUCCCAGGAUCUGGUGUGGAAUCCCACUCUCUAACUACACAAGGCCUGAUAAGGUUAACAACUCCAACCGUGGUGGCUUUGGGCCUUGGAUUGCAGGCCAGCACUGUGUCUUCAGCCACUAGUCUUCUUUGGAGGAAAAAUAAAUCUUGUGUACUCCA